AUAUACGAAUUGACAUAUAUUAGAUAGGAGAGUAUUACAGCCUCCCCUCUCUCUCCCCUUCUCACUUUUUAUUUUUAUUUUUAUUUUUUUUAGCAAUUUUCCAACAUGACUGUACAAAAAUUUGGAUCUUAGGCAUUAAAACAUUCAGUGGCAGUAGCAGUACAACCUCAUUAAGAUCGAGGACCUAUGCUCAAAAUUUGGGAUCCAAAGAGUGGGUGUUACAAGAUGGAGGAUUUGAUAAAAGAAACCAAACACUAUAUACACACAGAUAUUCAUGGAAGGAUUGGUGAAUUCGUCACGAAUCAACGCCAUUGGGACACAGUUUAGGCAAAAGAGCCUUGCUUUUGUUCCUACAUCUUCACUGCAAUUCACCAAAAGUUUGUAUAGAAAGUUAGAAACACAAGACAUCUUGGAAUAGAAUAACACCACUGAUCACUCAAGUGAAUUGCUGCUUCGAUUCAACUAGUAGAAGCCUCCCCAUCAAGCCGCUUUGGCAACAUACUACCUUGUAAAGAGUUCAACACCUACCAUACAGCGCUAUGUGGAGAAAGCUCUAAUGGGAGCAGCGAAGCUGGAAUGGAAGGAUCUUCAUUUGAUUGGUGCAAGUAGGACAUAUAAGGGUGUGCAUGCUUG